CUAAUACCGUAUAUCUCUAAGGAUCGCAUGAUCCUUAGAUGAAAGAUGGUUCUGCUAUCGCUUUUAGAUGGACCCGCGGCGUAUUAACUAGUUGGUGGGGUAACGGCCUACCAAGGUGAUGAUACGUAGCCGAACUGAGAGGUUGAUCGGCCACAUUGGGACUGAGACACGGCCCAAACUCCUACGGGAGGCAGCAGUAGGGAAUCUUCCACAAUGGACGCAAGUCUGAUGGAGCAACGCCGCGUGAGUGAAGAAGGUCUUCGGAUCGUAAAACUCUGUUGUUAGAGA
rnacentral:rRNA from 1 species